GCCCUAAGGAAGACAGCCAUGCAGUCGAGCGGUAGCACAGAGAGCUUGCUCUCGGGUGACGAGCGGCGGACGGGUGAGUAAUGUCUGGGAAACUGCCUGAUGGAGGGGGAUAACUACUGGAAACGGUAGCUAAUACCGCAUAACGUCGCAAGACCAAAGUGGGGGACCUUCGGGCCUCAUGCCAUCAGAUGUGCCCAGAUGGGAUUAGCUAGUAGGUGGGGUAAUGGCUCACCUAGGCGACGAUCCCUAGCUGGUCUGAGAGGAUGACCAGCCACACUGGAACUGAGACACGGUCCAGACUCCUACGGGAGGCAGCAGUGGGGAAUAUUGCACAAUGGGCGCAAGCCUGAUGCAGCCAUGCCGCGUGUGUGAAGAAGGCCUUCGGGUUGUAAAGCACUUUCAGCGGGGAGGAAGGCGAUAAGGUUAAUAACCUUGUCGAUUGACGUUACCCGCAGAAGAAGCACCGGCUAACUCCGUGCCAGCAGCCGCGGUAAUACGGAGGGUGCAAGCGUUAAUCGGAAUUACUGGGCGUAAAGCGCACGCAGGCGGUCUGUCAAGUCGGAUGUGAAAUCCCCGGGCUCAACCUGGGAACUGCAUUCGAAACUGGCAGGCUAGAGUCUUGUAGAGGGGGGUAGAAUUCCAGGUGUAGCGGUGAAAUGCGUAGAGAUCUGGAGGAAUACCGGUGGCGAAGGCGGCCCCCUGGACAAAGACUGACGCUCAGGUGCGAAAGCGUGGGGAGCAAACAGGAUUAGAUACCCUGGUAGUCCACGCCGUAAACGAUGUCGAUUUGGAGGUUGUGCCCUUGAGGCGUGGCUUCCGGAGCUAACGCGUUAAAUCGACCGCCUGGGGAGUACGGCCGCAAGGUUAAAACUCAAAUGAAUUGACGGGGGCCCGCACAAGCGGUGGAGCAUGUGGUUUAAUUCGAUGCAACGCGAAGAACCUUACCUGGUCUUGACAUCCACAGAACUUUCCAGAGAUGGAUUGGUGCCUUCGGGAACUGUGAGACAGGUGCUGCAUGGCUGUCGUCAGCUCGUGUUGUGAAAUGUUGGGUUAAGUCCCGCAACGAGCGCAACCCUUAUCCUUUGUUGCCAGCGGUUCGGCCGGGAACUCAAAGGAGACUGCCAGUGAUAAACUGGAGGAAGGUGGGGAUGACGUCAAGUCAUCAUGGCCCUUACGACCAGGGCUACACACGUGCUACAAUGGCAUAUACAAAGAGAAGCGACCUCGCGAGAGCAAGCGGACCUCAUAAAGUAUGUCGUAGUCCGGAUUGGAGUCUGCAACUCGACUCCAUGAAGUCGGAAUCGCUAGUAAUCGUAGAUCAGAAUGCUACGGUGAAUACGUUCCCGGGCCUUGUACACACCGCCCGUCACACCAUGGGAGUGGGUUGCAAAAGAAGUAGGUAGCUUAACCUUCGGGAGGGCGCUACUAGCUUUGACGAGGGG
rnacentral:rRNA from 1 species